UGACGUCCUCAUCACUAACGAGGCCUAGACUUCGAUUCUCUCUUUUCUUCUCCGAAAUACUCUUGUGUAUUUCAAAUUCGAAGCCAAAAUCUGGUCAAAGAGAAACAACAACCCGAAAUUCAGCUCGAUCGACCAGCUAUUGAUGAGAGGUCUUUAAAGAUUGUAGUCUUCUUCGCUUCACAGUGAAGAAAUGCAUAGUCGGGGACCGAAUCACCGGCUAUCUAGUUUGGCUUUCAGAUCUCAAGUUUCGGUUCUCAUGCUAGCCAUGUUGACACCAUGGCAUGGAUUUACAUCGUCGACAGGCUACGGCUGGAUUAUGAGAAUGAGGCUUAUUUGAUUAAAGAGCUGGGUAGGAGAACUAGUCAGGUUGUAGAUGGGUCAAACAGACCCGGCUGAAGGUAGGGGACGACUACAGGGGCUUAUCAUCUUCACUGUCAAU